GCUGAAAAGAAAAAAAAAAAAAAAAUCUGUAUUUGUGUCCUUAAAACUAUGUAACAAUGAUUAGUUUAAAAUUUUGAAGACUUUCAAUUGUGGGUUUACACUAUCAGACUGCAUGGAAAAUAAAUUUAAGUGUUCUAUAUGAUGAUGGUAAGGUUUAGAAAGGUCAUCAAUUCUAGCUCCACCCCCACCCCACUCACCAAAAAAAGUAGUGAAAUCAAGGGAGUGACAAUCAUUGACUACAUACUUUCCAAGAAUGCAAGUAUGACUGUCCUGGACCACUGACAAAGAACAUACUAACAUCCCUCUAUGCUGACUGAAAGAAAAUGCAGUGGAAUAUGGAUUCUCCAUGAUACUAGAAACCUGUGAAAGUUUAGAGUAAAAGGCAGUUGAGCAAAAUUCAAAGAGUUAGGUGACCAAUGAUUCAAACCAUUGAAGAUUUCUGAAUAGGAGAUGAGGUGGUGAUUUAAUGAGUAAAAUUCCAUUUUCUGCUAACAUCUUUUUUCUUUUUUCAUCUUAAUCCUGAAAAUCUGGACACAACUGAAUUACAACUUGCCCAAACUUGACAAGUAGGCAUCAUAUAAAUAAAUCCUUAUGUCAAAACUAAACCAUAUUCUAUGUGGAGUACAAUGGCACAGUCUUAAUAGCUUUAAAAAUGUCAUGCAGAGAAACAACAUCGAGCUAUGACUUUUAGUUCAUCCCUAACUAGAAAAGACUAGCUUUGCCUUCCAAAAAGGGGAAGAGGGUAAAUUAAAUCUAAAUAGGAAACUAAGAUUGCUAAGACAUUCUAAUUAAUUUCCUUGACCAUCAGUAAGACAGAACACUGACCAAAAAGCAUUUAUACUGUUUCCAAAUAUUCUUUAGGAGCACAGGCAUAGGAUUUGUUGAGCAUAAGGAUGGAUCAGAGCUACAAGUGAAAGUUCACACAAAUCAGGUAAGAAAAACAUCAGAAGGAGGGCCUAGAAAUAUCUGUUACUGAAAUGGUAAGUAGUUGGCUUUAUACAGAAUACCUACCUACUAUGUGCCAGGCACUGCUCUAAGCACUUUGCCUAAAACAACCCUAUGAGAUAGGUGAUAUUAUCAUUCCCAUUUUACAGGCAAAGAAACUGAGACAUGGGUUAAGUAACUUCCCCAAGGUUUUACAGCUAAUAAAUGGUACAAGCAAGAUUUGAACCAGACUAUCAAAUUUUUUUCUAAGAUUUCUACAAGGACUGAGCAAAUAAGUAAAUAUCUUGAGGAUAACGGAAGUCAAACUCACCACCAUUGGAAAAGGGAAUACGGAAAAGGGAACAGUUGUAAUGAACUCUGUGGUACUGGAUCAGAAUUGCAGGUACCUCUGGCAAACGAAAACUUCCCUCAACCUAAGAUUUCUCGGGCUUCCCUGGUGGCGCAGUGGUUGAGAAUCUGCCUGCCAAUGCAGGGGACACGGGUUCGAGCCCUGGUCUGGGAAGAUCCCACAUGCCACGGAGCAACUAAGCCCAUGAGCCACACCUACUGAGCUUGCGCGUCUGGAGCCUGUGCUCCGCAACAAGAGAGGCCGCGAUAGUGAGAGGCCCGCGCACCGCGACGAAGAGUGGCCCCCACUUGCCGCAACUAGAGAGAAAAGCCCUCGCACAGAAACGAAGACCCAACACAGCCAUAAAUAAAUAAAUAAAUAAAAUUUUUUUUUAAAAGUUUAAAAAAAAAAAAUUUCUCAUCGUAGAAGAUGAAAUAAUAGCUAAGGCUAAAGCAGUGGUACGAGAAUGAA